CACCUUCGGACCGUGAUGGCGCCUAAAAUUUUACUUGCUAGGCAAGCCAACGUUUGAAUAAUAUUAUCCAUUUUUAAAAUAAUUUUAAAUUUAUUAAUAACAAGGAAACAAAUGCGGAAGUAAAAUUUGAAAUAUAGUGAAAUAAUCCAUCAAACAACGGUGUCUAAAUACCAUCCUAGAAUUGGUGUCACAAGUGCACGAGCUUCUAGAAUAAAUACAAAUAAAUGUCUGAAUAAAAUAAAGUUGCCUGGACAUAAUCACACAUCUAAAGUAAAAUAGGCGGGGACUUCAGAACUGUGAAAGCCAUGCAGUUAUACCUCAAGUCUCAUCUGGUAGGUUAAAUUCGAGCAAAUCUAUGGUACACCGCUGGGACCAACUCCGAAAUCUGCAUAAGAAGUGCAGAGUGUAGUAUCAGUACAACCGACCCCAUGUACUGAUAAGUGCUGCGUCUAACCUCGACGAAGUAGUGACGAGGCUAAGGCGGUUCACUUACAUUACCUGUACGCAAUAUUAGUAACAACAACAAUAAUAGAAAUAAAUCAGGUAACUCAAUUAUAAUAAUUGAAGCAAACUCAGCAGUCAUAACCAAUUAUCCUUUCCAUCGAUUCAGUUCUGUUGCAGCGUGCAACUCGCUCUCAUAAUAUAUUCAUUUUUAAUCAAGUCUGUUGCGGCGUGUAACCCGAUCCUCCAAUAUAGAGUUUUAAUAAGUCUGUUGCGGCGUGCAACCCGAUCCUCCAAUAUUGGCUUUUAAUAAGUCUGUUGUGGCGUGCAACCCGAUCCUCCAAUAUAGACUUUUAAUAAGUCUGUUGCGGCGUGCAACCCGAUCCUCUAAUAUAGACUUUAAUAAGUCUAGUUGCGGAUUGGCUUUUAAUAAGUAUGUUGUGGCGUGCAACCCGAUCCUCCAAUAUUGACUUUUAAUAAGUCUAUUGCGGCGUGCAA
rnacentral:lncRNA from 1 species